UGCAUUUUUUGGAAAGCAGCGUUCGUUUGGAAAACAAAUCCAGGAAACUUCAAAUUGUCGGUCGCUACCUGUUCCUUGGUGGUACCAUCAAAGGAAGGAAAGAAAGAACAAAGGAAAUUUCGGAAGAAGUAACUUUUUUAUGGCAAAA